rnacentral:misc_RNA from 1 species
AUGUUUUCUGAAAUAAGAGUCAUUUUUGCUGAAAAAACCAGGGCGUUGUUCCUUGAUGCUUCGGCAUUUUUUGCAAUUUCCAUCAACUUUAUAUUAAUAAUUUUAAUUCUCACAAAGUCCCCAAAAACACUGGGAGCAUAUAAGUACUUGAUGGUUUACAUUGCAUUUUUCGAGUUAGCUUAUGCCGGGCUUUAUGUUGCUGAAAAACCAACCUUUUUUACCAAAGAUUCUGCAUUUCUGCUUAUCACUAAUACCAAAAAUUCAAUUUUUCCGAGGAGAAUUUCAAUGUUUGUUGAAGAACUUUUUAUUGGGUUCUACGGUUUAGCAAUGGCAAUUCUUGCAAUUCAUUUCAUUUAUCGUUAUCUGGCACUCAGCAGCAAUAUUUGGCUUCACACAUUUGAAAGUUGGAAGCUCGUCCUUUGGCUUAUGUUUCCUAUUGCAAACGCUGGAAUCUGGUGGUUUGUGGCUGCCGUUAUUUUUGCUGGAAAAGAAGACUCGGACAGAUAUUUGAAGAAAUUCUAUUUACCAUUGGCUCAACACCUAGUUAAUUUUGAGGACAUAUAUUGUAUUGGUCCGUUUUAUUACUUGAAAGAUGUCAAUGGAAAGUCUUAUAUAAACUGGAUAUCGUUUCAAGGAACGGCGAUUUCCUUAUCACUAAUUUGUCUUUCGUUCACGACAAUGAUAUAUUUUGGCUCAAAAGGUUACAAAUCAAUGAGCGAAUUGAUGAGCCUCUCCACCGUAUCGGACCAUUGCUCCUCAUGCAUAUUCCUGCAACUGUCACAUAUAUAACAUCAUUUUUCAACGUUUCAUCGGAAAUUUUCGGCGAAAUUCUUGACUUGAGCAUUGCACUUUACCCAGUGCUAAACCCGCUGCCAACGAUAUUUAUUGUCACAAGCUAUAGAAAAGCUGUUAUUGAUUUAUUAUGUUGCCGAAAAAAAAUUGUUCCACUCUCAACUGCUGAAGUGACUAAUCAAAUGGCAACUCAACCUAUGGCUAGUACUCUUUAA